CAUGGUCAGAGAGAUUGUGCGUCUGCUAGAUCAGGCAUCUCCACUUUAUAGCUGAAUGCACGCCUGCGUUGGCUGUACCAGAGCCACGACGAGAAUUGACAAAACCCUCGGUUUUGGUGAGGAAUUCUGCUCAGCAUCUUACCUGCUUUACGCUUGUAGGCUGGGUGAAUGGUUGUGUAUUGCUCGUGCAUGCAUCUAUUAUGAUGUCUAUACAAAUAAAUUCCAAGUUUUGUUAAUUUCUGCAUAUAAAUUGUUAAAAUUAACAUUAUUUUUACUAUGUUUCAAUAGACAUUAACAAGUUUAAAACUUAAACAAAUUAUAUAAGUUUUGUUAAUAUCUGCAUAUAAAUCUAUGAAGUUCAUAGGUUUAAUUGUGUUUAAAUAUUUGUCUCUGUGCUGAAAGUGUUUAUAAUAAAUAUGUCCCUCAAGAGAUAUGGUUUAUUUUGCAAAUACGAUAAACCUUAUCCAUUUUCU
rnacentral:lncRNA from 1 species